ACAGAUGAUAAUAGUGAUAGAUUAAAAAUAAAAGUGAAUUAUGAUGAAAAAAAUAACAAUAGUCAAUGGCGAUGUCAAUUGAGUGAUGAAAAAAAGAGCCUGAAAUAAUGAACAAAAUAAUGGGUUAAAAUACAUGCCAUCAAGAGUAUAAUAACAAAUUGCAAGGACACACGGAUAUUUAGUUUAAUGCCAAACAAUUCAAUUCUAUUAAUAAGCCAAAAAUUGUAAACCUGUAAUGGCAAUCAACAAAUUAGUGACAAAAGUUGAAUUACAUUCAUUAUGCCAGUUAGUCCUUGCCUAAUUGUAUCAUCAUCAUCAUAAUUACAAUGAUGAACAAAAGAGAAGCCAAAAUAAUGGUGAAAAAAAGUAACAUCAAAUUGAAUGUUUAACAUUGUUUCUUCCCAUCUCAAUGUUUCUUAAUGUUUACCAAGUGAAAGUUUGGUGAAAAGUAACCCUUUUUGUCCAUUUUUACAUUUACCUUUUCAAUGCAAACCUCCGAUUGGAAACUUGAUAUUGUAAUGUUUUAAGUUUCAACCAAAAUCUUUCACAAGUUGACCUCAACAAAGUUGUUCACUGUUGGUGUAAUCAUGAAAAAUUGUCAUAUUUUCUGUUCUCAUGUUAAGUAUUUGUGAAUUUCAUCAAUUCCUUGGGAUUAUUUAAACAGGUAGAUUAUUACUGUUGAUUGUUAUCCUCCUUGUGUGAAUAUUAAUGUGUGUAAACAUUAACCAUUGCUUUGCAAAGAGGAACCUUUCACUUUUGUUUUUUCCGUUUGUUUGCUUAAUUGUUGUUGAUUCUCGUUUACAAUUGUGACACAUUUAACCGUCAUCAAGACUCGAUGUGUGUCUCUCUUUGUGUGCAAAAAGACAACCAUAUUUGAUUGGAAACAGUAAAAAUCCCAACAUAAACCUGAUUAUUAGAAAGUUAUUGUUAAAACAAUCAACAGUGAAUAAGACGAAAAGAAGCAAAACAAUUGUGAGGCCAAGGCAGGUUUAGUCUUUCACCUUGACAUUUCAAUUAAAUUUUUCAAUCAACAAUAAAAUGAUCAACAAUUUAGUUUCUCGUUAAACUCUCAUCAUUUUGUUCAUUUAAUUUUGAUUCUCCAAGUUUCAAGUGAACCAUCAAAACAGUUAAUCAUUGCAACAAAUGAAACGCAAUUGUCACUCUUUCAUUCUGGUUCAUUUAUUUGAGAUUCAAUGGUCAAGUUUAGUUUUGUUUGUUAAAAUUGUUUAACCAAAGUGAACGGAUUCAGCAAACACCAAGGAAAAAUCAAUGAACGCUUAGACCAUCAAGUUUAAUAUCAAUGUAUAACAACAGUAAAGUGAUAAAUAAAUUUGCUCAAUGGUCAUUUAUGAUCAUUAAUCUUGUGCUAAUUAAUUGUGUUUUGACAAUUUGUUGCCAGGAAAGUUUAAAUGAUCCUCAAGUUACUCUGCAUUCAGGAAAAGCUCAGGGUAAAAAGAUGUUUACUCAAUCAGGAAAACCCUUUGCUGCAUUUCUUGGUAUACCUUAUGCUCUUCCACCUUUGGGUACCUUAAGAUUUCAGAGAUCUGUUCCUAUUCCUAUGUGGUGGGGCGUUAAAAGCUUUCAACAAUAUGGACCUGGAUGUCCACAGUACGAUUCCAGAGGAUCACUUUAUGGGAGUGAAGACUGUCUCUAUCUGAAUGUCUAUGUUUCCAUGGUAAAUAGACGGACUCCUCAACCAGGCUUGUUACCAGUUAUGGUCUAUAUUCAUGGUGAAAGCUUUGAGAAUGGCGAUGGUUCCAUUUACGGACCUGAAAAGUUAAUGGAGAAACAAAUUAUUUUGGUCACUUUCAGUUACAGAUUGGGAAUUUUAGGAUUCCUCAGCACAGAAGAUUCAGUUGCACCUGGAAAUUGGGGUCUAUAUGAUCAAAAACUUGUUCUUGAUUGGGUUCAAAAUAAUAUCAGAUAUUUUGGUGGUGAUCCUGGUAGAGUAACACUUUUUGGUCAAGGUUCAGGAGCAGCGUGCGUCUUUUUCCACCUUUUGUCUCCACUAAGUCAAGGUAAAUUUCAUCGAGCCAUUAUGCAAAGUGGUUCUGGUUUGUGUCAUUGGGCCAUGGAAAGACAGCCUCUUGAGUAUGCUAAAGAGAUUGCCGAAAAUACUGGUUGUCCCACAGUAACAUCUGCAGCACUUGUUGAUUGUCUCCAAAAGGUUUCUGUUGACAAGAUUUUAAAAGCACAAACACGAGGAAAGAUAUUUGGUGAAUUUCCUCAAAGAGCAGCUCCAACAAUUGAACGUUUUGGAACCAACCGUUUCCUUGAUCAGGAUCCACGAACCAUACUUAAUAAUUAUCCUUACAAAAGGAUUCCGGUGAUGAUUGGGAUGAAUAAGGAUGAAACGUCUUUCUUUUACCAAUUGAUAGUAUCACAUUUUUACUCCAAUUAUGGCGAGGAUCGGGAAAGAAAAUUGAUUGGCAAGUUUCUGGAGGCAGCAACACCAUUCAAAGGUUAUCGUAGAGAUCGUCUCAUACUACCAAUUUUAUCUCAAUAUUUUGAUUCCAUUGACACUAAUAAUGUAUCACAAUUCACUUCUGCAUUUGUCAAUAUGACAACGGAUGCCUUAUAUACAAGUUGCAUCGAUGAAACAGCCAAGCUACUUUGGGGCGCUGAAAUCCCGGUUUAUAUGUACCUAUUUGGUUAUAAAGGAUCAAACAGUAUGAUUAAAAUAUUACUCAAUAAUUCACCAACAGUCAUUGAUACUGGAGUUUGUCAUGGAGAUGAACUGUUUUACCUUUUCAAUCUUGAAAUGGACAAAUUUAGACCAACCAAUGUUAAAGAUUCCCUUGCAACACGCCUUUUAGUAGACCUCUGGACUGAUUUUGCUGCUUACGGGUUAGUUCAAUUAUUUAAUUAUCACCAAAUAAAACUCGAAAGAUGUGAAAUUUAACACAAACUAUAUCUACAAUUAAAAUCAAUGUUAAGUGGCACUUGAUUUAUGUUUACAUAAUCGUUGCGCACUUUUUAAACAGCUUCAUGUUUUUCAAUGUCAAUAGAGGGCAAUAGUUUUGAAUAAUUUAUUACCGUUAAAGAUGAUUUUUAAAAUAUCAAUUCAUUGAAAAACAUUUUCAUCUGAUUCUUGUUUAUUGAGUUAAUGACAAUCUCAGCUUUAAUCCGGCUUUUAAUACCUGCAGCCUUAGAAUGCCAUGAUCUAGUGAUUUAUUGGAGAUAAUCAACCAUUGAAAGAGACCGAAAAUUGAACCAGCCCAAUGAUUUUGAUCAGCUAUUUUAUUGAUGAAAAGUGAAUCUAUUAUGAAUCAUUUGCUGAUGGAAGAUGGCAAAUAUGAUGAUGGUGAUGGACAUGUUGGUCAACUAUCGACAGUGAAAGUAAAGAGUGAAAAAUAUUGUUCAACUGUAACUUAUCAUCAACUUUUGAAGCCACAAUGAAUAUACUACUUUUUUCUGGUUGGAAGAUUCAGUAAUAGUUUCUCGUCUGUUACAGAGUAUAUGAGAACUCUUGAUAAACAUCAUCAACUUGAUCAUUGAAUUUUGUGGAAAUGUAUUCCAUCAAGAUAAACCUGAUGAUGGCAAAGGUAGUAAAAAAGGAAAGGAAGAAAGUUAAAAAGUAUAAAUGAAGAUGUACCUCAACUUUUACUUAUUUGAAGGAGAUGAAAUUGAUGAAAAAAAACUAAAUGAAAAGUAUCAUUACUUCAAUUAUGAUUUCUCUCAAAAAAGGAAUUCAGUUUCACUCCCAAUAAUAGUUAUUUUUAUUUUUCCCUGACAAAGUAACUCCAUUUCAAAUUAUCAAAAGUAUAUAUCUCUACUUUCCUUCCUUUUUUUCUGAUGAUUCAAUUGACUUUCUCGUUGUUUCCAUCAUCAUCAUCAUCAUCAUCAUUAUCAAUCUGCAGUCAACUAUUUGUGGUAUACCUUCAACUCAAGGUAUGCACCUAAAGAGGAAAAGUAUGAUUAUCCAAGAUGGAAACCAUUUGAUCCAAUCAAGCUGAAUUAUUUAUUGAUUGAUUCACAAUUGAGUCUAGAAUCCAAUUUAAGGCAGGAGCAAGCUUACUUUUGGUCAGUUGGUUUACACAACAUAUCAACCAAUGGAGCAAUUUCACUGCCUAUUACAAGACCAAAUACAUCGGAAGUCUCUUACAAAACAUUGGCCUGGUCAAUGGUAGCUCUUUCAGCGACCCUUUUGAUUUUAAUUUUACUCCUUCUACUCGUCCUGUAUGUCCAACGACGAAGGCAAACCUUUGAAACCAAUUCCAUAGACAACAAUGGAAGUCAUAUAUCAGCAAGAUCUUCUAACUUUUAUUAGAUUUUUCUUGCCCUUAUCAACAAUUAUUACCACCAUCAACACCAAUUUUGUUAUCCAUUGUCAUUACCAUCAUUGUAAUAAGGUUUUAUUACCAGUUCAGUUUCAAUCCAUUUAAUAACCAUAAAACCAUGUUGAUAGUGACACUAUUUUCAUUUGCAAUUUUUACUUUGUUUUGUAAACCUUUCCACCUUUUUACUCCAUAAAAUACUUUAAUCAUUUCA